CAAAUAUCCACUCAGGUCACAGGGUAGAAACACAGCACCAGCUCCCUUAAAUUCAGCCUCCUCCUCAGGCUUGAAGAGACUUGCGGGAGUGGUGACUCUCAUCUGCUCGAAGAUGAACCCACUGUGGACCCUCCUCUUUGUGCUCUCAGCCCCCAGAGGGGUCCUGUCCCAGGUGCAGCUGAAGGAGUCGGGCCCCAGCCUGGUGAAGCCCUCACAGACCCUCUCCCUCACCUGCACGGUCUCUGGAGUCUCAUUGACCAGCAAUGCUGUAGGCUGGGUCCGCCAGGCUCCAGGGAAGGCGCUGGAGUACCUCGGUUGUAUAAGCAGUGGUGGAAGCACAGGCUAUAACCCAGCCCUGAAAUCCCGGCUCAGCAUCACCAAGGACAACUCCAAGAGCCAAGUCUCUCUGUCACUGAGCAGCGUGACAACUGAGGACAGGGCCACAUACUACUGUGCAAGAGACACAGUGAGGGGAAGUCUGUGAGC